AUGAACGCUGGCGGUCUGCUUAGCACAUGCAAGUCGAACGGGAGAGUAGCAAUACUCCAGUGGCGGACGGGUGAGGUAACAGUCCGUGAGAAUCUGCCUUCUGGUCGGGGACAACGCACUGGAAACGGUGGCUAAUACCGGAUGUGCCUGCGGGUAAAAGAUUAAUUGCCAGAAGAGGAGCUCGCGUCUGAUUAGCUAGUUGGUGGGGUAAAGGCUCACCAAGGCAUCGAUCAGUAGCUGGUCUGAGAGGACGAUCAGCCACACUGGGACUGAGACAACGGCCCAGACUCCUACGGGAGGCAGCAGUGGGGAAUUUUCCGCAAUGGGCGAAAGCCUGACGGAGCAAGACCGCGUGAGGGAAGAAGGCUUUUGGGUCGUAAACCUCUUUUGUCAGGGAAGAACAUCAUGACGGUACCUGACGAAUCAGCCUCGGCUAACUCCGUGCCAGCAGCCGCGGUAAUACGGAGGAGGCAAGCGUUAUCCGGAAUUAUUGGGCGUAAAGCGUCCGCAGGUGGCUAUUCAAGUCUGGCGGUCAAAGACUGGGGCUUAACCCUGGAAAGGCCGUGGAAAACUGAAAAGCUAGAGUGCAGUAGGGGUAGAGGGAAUUCCCGGUGUAGCGGUGAAAUGCGUAGAGCUCGGGAAGAACAUCGGUGGCGAAAGCGCUCUGCUGGACUGCAACUGACACUCAGGGACGAAAGCUAGGGGAGCGAAUGGAGAUUAGAUUGCCCCAGUAGUCCUAGCCGUAAACGAUGGAUACUAGGUGUGGCUUGUAUCGACCCGAGCCGUGCCGUAGCUAACGCGUUAAGUAUUCCCGCCUGGGGAGUACGCACGCAAGUGUGAAACUCAAAGGAAUUGACGGGGGCCCGCACAAGCGGUGGAGUAUGUGGUUUAAUUCGAUGCAACGCGAAGAACCUUACCAGGGCUUGACAUGUCGCGAAUCUCUUGGAAACGAGAGAGUGCCUUCGGGAACGCGAACAUCAGGUGGUGCAUCGGCUGUCGUCAGCUCGUGUCGUGAGAUGUGUUGGGUUAAGUCCCGCAACGGAGCGCAACCCCUCGUCUUUAGUUGCCAGCAUUAAGUUGGGCACUCUAGAGAGACUGCCGGUGACAAACCGGAGGAAGGUGGGGGAUGACGUCAAGUCAGCAUGCCCCUUACGUCCUGGGCAACACACGUACUACAAUGCGACGGACAAAGGGCAGAGCAAGCGCGCGAGUGCAAGCCAAUCCCAUAAACCGUGGCUCAGUUCAGAUCGCAGGCUGCAACUCGCCUGCGUGAAGGAGGAAUCGCUAGUAAUUGCAGGUCAGCAUACUGCAAGUGAAUCCGUUCCCGGGCCUUGUACAGCACCGCCCGUCACACCAUGGAAGCUGGCCACGCCCGAAGUCGUUACCCCUAACUGUUCGCAGAGGGGGACGCCGAAGGCAGGGCUGGUGACUGGGGUG
rnacentral:rRNA from 1 species